GGUCAUUAUUGCCAGAGGAUUACAAAGGCUGCCAGGAAGGAUGGAACAGACUUACAAAGCCCCAGAGACUCAGAUCUCUACGAUGUUGCGGAACAUGCCACGUGGACAAUCACGGAAUAUACAAUAAUAUGUCCCAUGUGAGAAGUACUAAAUUCGGCUCUAUGAAAAUGACUGCAAUAUAAAAGUAAUUAAACAAUUGAAGAUAUCAGACAACAUUACUCCAUUGAAAGGCAUCAAACAAAGAACAAUUUUAUUAAACUGGAUUCUUCGAUGGCUGCCGAUGUUCGCACCUAAACGAAGAUCUCUACGAUGUUCCGAAACAUGCCACGUGCACAAUCACGGAAUAUACAAUAAUAUGUACCAUGUGAGAAGUACUCAAUUCGGCUCUAUGAAAAUGACUGCAAUAUAAAAGUAAUGCAACAAUUGAAGAUAUCAGACAACCUUACUCCAUUGAAAGGCAUCAAACAAAGAACAAUUUUAUUAAACCGGAUUCUUCGAUGGCUGCCGAUGUUCGCACCUAAACGAAGAUUAGUAUUUUAUCUCGUGCAUAACAUAGAUACACAACAGUUUUAUUGAAACAUACAAUAUCGACUAUACUUAUAUGAUGACCCUUUCUCAGUACUGAAAUUAACCCCUUUAAACCCACAGUUCAGCUGAUUCUUCGUACGUUGGUGCACAUAAGUCAAUGAGUCAGUUGGUUUUUUUUACGAAAGGAUAGCUUGCAAAUGGAUCGGCAAUAUGUAACCUAGGGGCAAGAAUUCCCUUUCUUUUGCCUUUCUUCUAAUCCCUCAUUGCAACAGUUAGUUGAAUUAUAUACUUCCACUACUGAGGGCUAUUCACUGCCUUGUAAUCCUCUGAAAGGAAUAU